UACGUAGGGGGGCAAGCGUUGUCCGGAUUUAUUGGGCGUAAAGAGCUCGUAGGUGGUUCGGUAAGUCGGAUGUGAAAUCUCCAGGCUCAACCUGGAGGGGUCAUUCGAUACUGCCGUGACUAGAGGUCGGUAGGGGAGUGUGGAAUUCCUGGUGUAGCGGUGAAAUGCGCAGAUAUCAGGAGGAACACCCAUUGCGAAGGCAGCUCGCUGGGACGUUACUGACGCUGAGACGCGAAAGCGUGGGGAGCAAACAGG
rnacentral:rRNA from 1 species